rnacentral:misc_RNA from 1 species
GGUUGGAGCUCAAGCCUUUCGAGAUUGAUGUUAUCAAUGUUGUUCCUGGCGCUAUUAAAUCAAAUGUUGAAAAUUCAAAUAUAGCCAGCUACAACCAGAUGCCACAGUGGAAGUUAUACAAGCCAUUUGCAGCUGCAAUCAAGAGGAGAGCAUAUUUUCCACAAGGAACCAAGUGCACCCCUACGGAAAAGUUUGCAAAGAAUACUGUAUCUGCCAUACUGAAGAAAAAUCCACCUGCAUGGUUCUCGACAGGUCACUACUCCACCAUUAUGUCGAUCAUGUACUAUCUCCCACUUUGCGUUAAAGAUUUUAUCAUGGGGAAUUAUUUAAGUGUUGAGCCCUAGAGGCUCUGCAGGUCAUCUUUUGCAUGUGUAUAGCAGACUGCUCUAUGUUUUUCUUUCUUUUUUUAACAUAAUCCUUACACAUAGGUAGCCUAAAGUCGCUCAUAUUCAGACAACUUUCCUGCAAGAUUUUUCACCUUAAUAAGCACUUGAUCUGGUGAUUAUUCAUUUAUUCACUGUGUCUGAUGUUGGCAGAUCACUAUCUGAUCUAGUGCAGGAUCAUAAAUAGCUGAAGUCUGGAAUCGGAAUCGAGCAGAAUGAGAAAUGAAAUUAUGAUUUUUUUU